rnacentral:rRNA from 1 species
CGGGGAACGGGUGAGUAACGCGUGGGUGAUCUGCCCUGCACUUCGGGAUAAGCCUGGGAAACUGGGUCUAAUACCGGAUAUGACCUCCUAUCGCAUGGUGGGUGGUGGAAAGAUUUAUCGGUGCAGGAUGGGCCCGCGGCCUAUCAGCUUGUUGGUGGGGUAAUGGCCUACCAAGGCGACGACGGGUAGCCGACCUGAGAGGGUGACCGGCCACACUGGGACUGAGACACGGCCCAGACUCCUACGGGAGGCAGCAGUGGGGAAUAUUGCACAAUGGGCGAAAGCCUGAUGCAGCGACGCCGCGUGAGGGAUGACGGCCUUCGGGUUGUAAACCUCUUUCAGCAGGGACGAAGCGCAAGUGACGGUACCUGCAAAAGAAGCACCGGCUAACUACGUGCCAGCAGCCGCGGUAAUACGUAGGGUGCAAGCGUUGUCCGGAAUUACUGGGCGUAAAGAGUUCGUAGGCGGUUUGUCGCGUCUUUUGUGAAAACCAGCAGCUCUACUGCUGG